CAGGACUUGCAUAGGAAUUGCAACACCUGUGGCCUAGACUGCCCCUCAAGUUCACUUAGGGCCCCAGAGCACUCCAGCACACAGUGGCAGGGCUUUUAUCAAGUCAUGCUGGGAUAGAUAAUUCUGUCUGGUUAGGGCCAGUCCAAAUGCUCCCUCUGUGGGCAGAUGUCAGCUGAGUACAGCCCAGUUCUGCUUUCCACUGUGAUGGGGCAGCACUGAGUUCAGUGCAAAACCUCAUAAUCACCACACUCUCCCUCUUCAAAGCACACAGAUUCUCCACACCAUGCAGCCACUUCUGAGGAAUGGGGAACAGGUGGCAUCAGCACUUCAAGACUGUCUUUCUUGCUCUCUUCAAUAAUUCUUUCACUGAUAGAAGUUAAAACCAGGCAGAGGUGGCUGAGCAGUCCUGGUCUCAGAAUUCUCUCACGUUCCUGGUAAUUGACUAUUGGUUGAUCUUGGCUGAGAUGACUCUGGUGACUUGCCGGUUCCCACGUUGUGUGUCCCAUCCUCCAGGAGCCAGACUGGGCAUGUUGUCAUGGUGAUGACAGAAGGCAAGAACAGAAACGUAAAUGGAAACAUGCAAGUACUCUUUCGAGCAUUUGUUUGUGUCACAUCUACUAACCUCCCAUUGGAUAAAGCAAGUCACAUGGCUUUUAAUGAAAGAGUUAAAGCUUUAACAACACCUCUGGAGGCUUCCAUAGUCAAGAAUUUUGAGGUUUAGUUGAGUAAAAUGGCAGAGUCAAAAGAAUAAACCAUCAGAUGGAAUGUCUUAGGAAGACUGCAGUAACAAGAAAUUUUAAGAGCUUCAAGCCAGGAAGAUCUUAGCUUGAAGAAAUCCUCACCCCACCAUUUUAUAAAUAAAUAAAUAAAUAAAUAAAUAAAUAAAUAAAUAAAUAAAUAAAAAAAAAUAAAGCCCAGAGGGGUUCAAGUGCAUUUUCAAAGGGAGAGAGAUGGAGCUAGAACAAGAAUCCAAGUCUUUUGCUCAGCCCAGUGUUCCUUCUGUUGCCUGAAGUUUCUCUGGCCAUUGGCCACUCGGCUCCUCUAUAAUGUUCACCUCUAACCUUUGUUUUCAUUUUCCUAUCAUCCAACUGCGUGAUAAUAAAUUGGUCUCAGUACUCUGUUUUCUUAAUUCCUAGUAGAAGCUGAAGGCAUUGCUUUUCUCCUGGGAACACUGUUUGGUGCUGACUGAUUGGAGGUGCCUCCCCUGGGUUUGCAGAGGGAGCAAGGUUUUAGUUCCUGGAAAAUUUAAUACACAAUUUGAUCUUUGCUACUCUACUGAACUUCUCCUAAGCUUGCCUUUCCUUAUCUCCUUGCUCUCCCAGCUGCCAGGUAAUUUGAUCUGGAUCUGUCUUAUCAGUCCUAGGCCAGCAAGCAGGUGAUGAAUGAGGGGCUGGGGAAGCAGCUGUCUCUUCUUUGAGGCCACCGGCAUUUUUGGAAGAGACUCUAUGCGUGGCAGUUGCUGGAAAUGGAGGGAGAAAGCCUGCUAUAUCUACUGGAAUAAAAAAGGAAGCAGAGAAAAUGGAAUCUAGACAAAUGGAUAUCCGGAUCCAGCUGGACAAAGCCCUGUGAUGUUAAAGCCACCAGUCUGACUCUGUAGGACACUGUCGCUACCACAUCCCAAAAGGAAAUGUACCCAGCCUGCCUACUUGCCACUCAGCAUCCCUCCCAGGGGAAAGAGCUAUGCCUUAGGGGUGUGAUGUCACAAACAAGUCAACCAUCGUUUAGAGGCAUCAUUUCAAGGUUCCCCCUCUCUGCUUCUCAGCUUACUUUCCCUCUGCUGCUGUCACCUGGCUGUCAGCAUCCAAAUUAGCACAGAGCCCCAACCCAAGCAAGCAUCAACUGGAUUGUCAGCCCAGUGAAUGACCCACCCUGGGGACCUGCUGUUAUACCCUGCCUCAGCUGUCACCUUCCUGUGGCCUUCCUCUUUCCCCGGGCAUGCAGAGCCAUGAAAACAGCAGUAAGCUUCUCCCUGAGAAAGAAAAAGCUGCGUGUAAGGUCAGGUAAACACAGGGCCAGAGAAAGCUCUCCCUUCCCCCAUCCCACAGACACAUCUUAUCCUCGCCCCAAGCUAAGGACCUCUAAAUCCAGCCACAGUAGCAAUGCUGGGAUGGCAGGAAAAUGUUCAGCCUGGAAACCACAACCUCUGCAGCACAGCAGCCAGCACCAGUGAAGGACAUGGAGUUAAAUCGAAAAGGAAUUUGAAUGACAAAGUGACAUUAUGUCUAUCUCCCUAAUGAUGGGACAAGUUGGUCUUCUGUCAUUGGCAAGGCAAAACUGCCAGGACCAGAUGUGUAUUUAAAAGCUAUUUCUCAUGGUUUUAAGUCACCAGGUCAGCUCGAUACCUAAAACAAAGAGAAUGAAUUAUGGAACAGGACGAGGGGAGCUUGUUAAUUUUCCUACUGAUGCACUGUGAAAUGAAAGCUUUAUUCUAAGAAUGGUAUAUCCUCAGGGCUCUCUCUGGAGAGACAAAUUCAAAUGUCCUUACUGUUUUCUUUGUCCCUUACUUUAUGGCUUUUUCUGUACACAUUUACGAAGUAUAUAUAUUUCAUGGUAUGUCUGUGUCUAUAGGACUCAGGGAGUUCAAGUCUGUGAUUCUCUUUAGGGCUUCCUUGACAAUAAGGAGUGCUUAGGUGAUGUUAUUGAUGAAUACACACACACACACACAAUUAGAAUUUGUGGCCAGCCUGUCUGUAUAUAUUAUAGAGACAUCCAUGCAGGCUGCUUGCUAUUGUCUGCACUAGUGAGCUAUAGCCCAUCUCCAAUUGGAACCCAAUGAAAUAAUCAUAACAAUUUUGCCUUCAUGUAUCACCUUUCAUCAGGGAGGAUGAAAGGACUUCACAAACUCUGGGUUCUUCUUUGAUCUAGGCGCCUAUCUGGUACACCGAUCUCCAUUGUGUAUUCUGCCCUCACCCUGCCGAUGGGCCUCCCAUUGACAGUAAUUGAACUUCCAUAUGCAGAGCAGCCAAAAGGCCGGCCUGGCCAGAGAGACUUCUGUCAGCUGCCAGGAGGGAGAGGGCUGCUUCCAGAAGGGACUUGGGUUGCUGUUCUGCAUCUGCAACAGGGGGCAGGGAUUAUAAAUGUGGGGAAAGAGGCAAGUAAUUCUUAAGCUGCAACUUCAGUUUGAGAGAGGGGUGCUUAAUAGGAGAUGGAGGAACAUUCUAGGUAACAUGAUAAAAUAAAUCUCCAGAAUGUGGGUGUUGCCUAAGGCUCUGCUCUUCACUGUCUUCUCUUCCAUAUCGACUUUAGCUAUUAGCUUUAUGGGAAGGACUCCGAAAUAUGUAUCCCAGGCUCAAACUCUCUUGGGUCUAGCCAGGCAUCUCUAGCUGUCUCCUGGGCAUUUCCAUCCACAUAUUUCACUGGAACAUCAAUCACAGCUUCUACCAAAUAUUAUAUAUGAUUCUUCCUCCUCCUUCACUCUCAAAUAGCUCCCUUCCCUGACCUUCCUACUUGUAGUCACUGAUGUUACAGCCACAAGUAAUUUAGCCAAUAUCUGUGUUCUCGUGGAGCUUGCAUUUUAGAGAGGGGUGAGAGAAUCCAAUAAACAAGCAAUAAAUGAAGAAGAGAAAUAGCAGGAAAUGAUAGUUUAGGUGGUGAUGGGUUAGGGGUGUGGACCUCUUUGGACUGAGUGACCAACAUUGGCUUCUCCAGGGAGGAAACUAUUCCAGGUGCAGGGAACAGCAAGCACCAAAGCCCUGAGAGAGCCAAGGCCCCAAACAGAAAAGAUGCUGAGCUGCUGGAGCAUGAUAACAGGAGAGUGGGAGGAGAUGAGGUUAGAGAGGUGGCCAGUGAUUAGAUGAGGUGAGGCUUUGGUGAUGGGAUGCAGAGUUUGGAAUCUAAGCCAAGUGCUGUCCAAAGCCAGGGAGGGUUUCCAGCAGCGGCUUGUGGGAGCUGAUGUCCAUUAGUAGCACCUCUCAGCUGAGACUUUGAGUCACUUUGACUCUUCUCUGUAUCACACACCUCUCUCCAUACAGGCAGUGUCUAAUGUGGAAUGAGAGAAAGGUUUUGGUAACCCUCCAACUCCCUUUGCUUCUCCCCUCCAGGGUCCCGGACAGAGUUUUCUGUGUUCAAAAGAACUAGAAGCCAAACAGAAAAUAAAGCAUCCUUUUUGUGAUCGCUGGGAAAGGACAACAUACCCUUCAGGCUGUAAAUGUGGCUUAGGCUAGCAGACUAAAGCUUAGUUUCCCAAUUUUUCUGAGAAUAUAGAUCUUGGGACCCACCUGCUCAGGCAUGCUUGCUGUUGGAGGGGGUGAGAAUGGGUGGUCUCAUGGAGAGUGGUUGCUACACCCAUCUCCCAGCUGCUGAGAGUGUUGUCUGCUAAGGAAAUCACAGCUGCCCUCCUCAGAGAAUCGCCAUUGGGAGGUUCCCCACCUUCCCACCAGGGGCAGCAUGUAAUCCAUGACUGGCAUAGGGUACAAAAGGCAGGCCCCUUACCUCUAGGUGAGACAAUUCUGUGGUACAGUUCAUACUCCAGAGCUCCCGUGGGAACAGGUCCAAGAAGUGUCCAGCUGAGACCCCAACCUUGCUCAGUCCUCUGCUGCACCUGGCUUACCUUCCCCCCUUCUCCUGAGAGCAUUUUCUCAAGAGACAUGUGCACUUCAUCAUCUUAUCAGGAUCUGCUUCUACGGAAUGCAACCUAAGACAAGUGGAGAUAGAGCCAGGCCUUUUAAGGAGCCCUGACAAAUCUCUACAAAAUUUCCAUUCACUUCUCCCUUUUAAAUUCAUUCAUUUAUUCAACAAAUACAUUGAAACAUGUUUUGUACACUCUGGCACACAAGAAAUCAGGUAGGCACAGCCCAUUCCCUCAUAGAGCUUACAAACCAGGAAGAAAGGCAGACAUCAAACUGGUAAAUGCAUUCAUUUGGGUGCAUCAUGUUGAGAGUAGUCUUCGUCAUUGUAAUGGGACUGUUUGCCUCCAAGUCCCUAUUUCUAAGACGAUGAAGGAACAGGAGUAAGCCCGGACACCAGAGCCUUUCUUCUGCUUUGCGAGCUGCUGAUAUGUAGCUGGGAUCUCUUUGUGUCCCCGCUGGGCUGACACUCACCAGUGAGCCAAGAAGGGAGGGGUGGUUAAAGGCGUGAGGACCCCGAAGGGGACCCCUUGAAAGUGCUCACUCUUCCUUCUACUAAUUAUUUUGUUUUUUUAAAAGCUUGCCCUGUUUAGUCUCUCAGGAGGUUUUCCUGCCCACGGGGGGUAUGGCUGCCUCCCAGGAGAAUCUGGCCAGGAUUUACACCACCCAGCCCACAAAAUCCUGAACAGCUCAGGACCAGCCCAUGCUAUUGUGAGCUGAGAGUCACUCUUCAGUUCUCAUGAUUGCAGGUAAAUAAAUGUUCCAGCCGUCCCGAGCUCUCACAUGAAGACUACCUGCCAAGGAAUUUUUUCCUCUGGGACCCAUGGCCACAUUGCUGGGCUGAGACUUUCUUGCAUUCAUAGAAUUCCCCUGUUACAACGGCCACUAGUCAGCUCCCAUUGCCUUAGUUUCCUGCUUGAAGGAGGUAGAAGAGAACUGCUGGCUGAUGCUUGUUUAAUUCACUGUGAAGGGUGCAGUUUAAGGAAGAUCUCCCUCAAAGGCAGCCACAUUCCGGACUCCUCUAUAAGUGCUUACUAAUGGAAGAGAUAAUUUGGGGUCAGGGCCAGCUUCGUGGGCCCCUGACCUGUGCAGUUUACAUAGGACUCCACACUUAGAAGGGCCCUACUCUUGGUUUAAUGUUCUGUUAUUGCUGUCUUAAAAUUCUUAAUAAUUUCUAAACAAGGGUCCCUACCUUUUCAUCUUACCUUAGGCCCCACAGAUUAUGUAGCUAGUCUGGUUUGGGAUCAUGCAUCAAGACUUGUUCCAGGUUGCCUGCCAAGAGGCAGAGAGAAAGGUAAAACUUCCCUUGGAUCUCUUUCACCCCAGGAUGCUGGUGAAUUCUAAAGGCACAGGGGCAGAUUUCUGCAGUUGAACAGUGUCUCUGGGGAGAGUAUAUUCACAAUACAGAACCAUCAGUCUGUACAGAGCCCAACGUGGUGGACAGUUGCUGACUGUCAGGGGUAGCUGCAGAGGGAGAAUGGAGAUGUAGGAGCAGGAAAAAUCUGCUUGAUUGUGAAUAGAACUAGAUCUGUUUUUUCUUGGUAUGGCAGGUGUUUGGAGCUGAUCAUUUUUCUUAGGGAGCAUCUGGGGGCUCCUUGAAGGUCUCCUGUUGGCCCUUCACUGGGUGUUCCCUUCAUCCUAACAGAUGCUUCUCGCUUCCAGGAGUCAGUUGAGGGCUCUUCCACAGCCCCUAGAGAUCCAGCAUCUCCCCUCAGCUCCUGGGGCCCCUGUUGAGAUGAACCCAAGCAAAUCCCA
rnacentral:lncRNA from 10 species